rnacentral:sRNA from 17 species
UGUAGGCAAGCGCUGGGCUUGUAGAGGUCGUCGAGAGACGGCAGCCCUUAUGGGUGGGACCCUCGAACCAGGGGCCUACAGACUA